UUAAGUUCAGCGGGUAUUCCUACCUGAUCCGAGGUCAACCUUAGAGAGAGCAGUUUUGCUAGGAAGACCGGCCCGGAGGGUCCUUGAAACUCGACGCGUGCUCCUUAGAAGCUCGUUGCACCGAGGGUCCCACGGACGCCGUCAUUGUCUUUAAGACCAGUUGUUCAACCGAAACGGAGAACAACACAGGUCCAACACCA
rnacentral:misc_RNA from 1 species